rnacentral:pre_miRNA from 1 species
AAUAGUUUUAUGCCAUAUUAAUAUUUUUAUCUUAAAUUUUAGUAUUUUCAUCUUAAAAAAAAUUAAAUCCAAAUUAAAAUCCUGAAAUUGAGGAUAAAAUCAUUGAUGUGACAUAAAACUAUU